rnacentral:rRNA from 1 species
UACGUAGGGGGCUAGCGUUGUCCGGAAUCAUUGGGCGUAAAGCGCACGUAGGCGGUUCGUUAUGUCGGAUGUGAAAGCCCUUGGCUUAACCGAGGAAGUGCAUCCGAAACUGGCGAGCUAGAGUACUAAAGAGGAUCGCGGAAUUCCCGGUGUAGAGGUGAAAUUCGUAGAUAUCGGGAGGAACACCGGUGGCGAAGGCGGCGAUCUGGGUAGAUACUGACGCUGAGGUGCGAAAGCGUGGGGAGCAAACAGG